AGCUGUUUCAGCAAAUUGGGAAAAUGGCCUACUCAUGGAGAUCAUAUAUAAUAAUUGACAAUCUCAGUUCUCCAGUCCUAAGGUCAGAUGUGUAGCUGACAUGAGUCGUCAUGGAAGGAGACUCUGUAUGCUCCUCCAAACUCCUCAAGAAAUGGACAAACUGUCGUACCUGCAAAAACAGGAGAAGACACCUGAAGGGUUCACAUACCACUUUUGAUCCCAGACGGAAGUUCUUGAGACAAUUAUCUUCAAUGAAGAUUUGUGGCUCAAGUACAAAAUACUUACCAGUUCAUGAAUAUAUUCACAAAGCCCACUGCCCUUCAAGAAGGAGAAGAGAUACGCUGAGCAAUUUAGAAUUUGUUGGGGCAACAGAUGGCUUAAGUACAUACGUUCAAGGAAACCACUAGAAGAAUCGAAUAAGACUGCUACCUUCCACACCAACACAGAAAACCAUGUCAUCUAACCCAAGACAGGGAAGGACGUGGGGAAAAAAAAAGAGAGAACCACUAAAGAAAAACAAAAAAGAUGGAUGAAGUCACUAAGUUAUCAGCAUUGGUAUUCUUAAAAUUCCCAAGUUCAAACCUCCAUUACAUGGAAGAUGAUGCUGAGGGUUAAAGAGGAAAUGGAAUUUUUCCAAAUUCUCAGGACUCAUUAGUGGCAAAGAGGUUUGGCCUGAAACCCAGAAAAUUUGUGGGCUGUCUUCAUUUAGAGUUCACUAUAAGAUGUACAAAGGAAGGUGACUCUUUCACAGGUGACACUUCCAAAUGUUAAAACAAAAAAAGUAUUAGUAGAAAUUCAGUGGAGCAAUUUAUUGACCGGUUUAUUGUUAAAUGUUGUGGCUCCUGUCUGCUGGCUAAUUCACAAGAGGAAACUCAUUUAGGAAAUUUUCAGAUUUAGCUUGUUCUGAUUAAUGUUGUAUAAAAUAUUAAUUUGUUAUUUUUAUUUUAUUU